UUGGGGGUGUGACAGAACGUGUCAAGGAGAGGUCAAGCAUAGGAGGAUAACGGGUCAAGAUAAGGCAAGAUGACAAAUACACUUAUUGGAGUACUCGAGGUAUGGGGUCGUUGGCUUCAUGAAGAAAUGGAGCUGGAUUUGGAUAAGAGUAUUUAAGAAAGCGCUUGGACAAUUCCACGACUACUUUAUAGAAUGCUCUACGAAAUUUUAUUAUAUAGUUUAAUGUUGAAUGGUAUGUUAAUAACUAAUGGUUUGGUUGUACGUGGUGUCCACAGGUAUCGCUUGGGUUUUCUCUACUUUUAUUGAAGUGAAGCGGACUUAGUUCGAGUUGAGAGCAAGGAUUGUACGGGGUAGAAUGGUCACAUAGUGUAACUCAUAUAGGUUUUGAAGUAUUAAUGUUAUAAAACGUUAUAAAUCCGUUUUAAUGAAUAUAUGGCAUUUCGCAUUUGAA